GGCCGACUAGCUCAGCUGGUUAGAGCGUCGUGCUAAUAUUGUGCAUGGAAAAUGCUAUCAAUUAUAACGCGAAGGUCUUGGGUUCGAUCCCCACGUUGGCCA